UUGUCACACUCCUACGGGAGGCAGCAGUGGGGAAUAUUGCACAAUGGGGGAAACCCUGAUGCAGCCAUGCCGCGUGUGUGAAGAAGGCCUUCGGGUUGUAAAGCACUUUCAGUAGGGAGGAAGGUAGUGUAGUUAACACCUGCACUAUUUGACGUUACCUACAGAAGAAGCACCGGCUAACUCCGUGCCAGCAGCCGCGGUAAUACGGAGGGUGCGAGCGUUAAUCGGAAUUACUGGGCGUAAAGCGCAUGCAGGCGGCCUGUUAAGUCAGAUGUGAAAGCCCCGGGGCUUAACCUCGGAAUUGCAUUUGAAACUGGCAGGCUAGAGUCUUGUAGAGGGGGUAGAAUUUCAGGUGUAGCGGUGAAAUGCGUAGAGAUCUGAAGGAAUACCAGUGGCGAAGGCGGCCCCCUGGACAAAGACUGACGCUCAGAUGCGAAAGCGUGGGGAGCAAACAGGAUUAGAUACCCUGGUAG
rnacentral:rRNA from 1 species